AAGUGGUACAGUUAUUUUAAAAUUUGUCUAGCAGGUCUUCUUGCUUUUACUGGAAAAUCCUC
ensembl:snRNA U7 U7 small nuclear RNA